rnacentral:rRNA from 1 species
AGCAGUAGCCGCGGUAAUACGAAGGGUGCAAGCGUUACUCGGAAUUACUGGGCGUAAAGCGUGCGUAGGUGGUGGUUUAAGUCCGUUGUGAAAGCCCUGGGCUCAACCUGGGAAUUGCAGUGGAUACUGGGUCACUAGAGUGUGGUAGAGGAUAGUGGAAUUUCCGGUGUAGCAGUGAAAUGCGUAGAGAUCGGAAGGAACAUCUGUGGCGAAGGCGACUAUCUGGGCCAACACUGACACUGAGGCACGAAAGCGUGGGGAGCAAACAGGAUUAGAGACCCCUGUAGUCCCUGUCUCUUAUAC